CCCUGCUCCUGAAGAGGUACCGUCCUGCAGAUUUCAGCUCCAACCCCAAUCAAACACAGCUUAAGCAGCUAAUUAAGGUGUUCAGGGUUGCUUGAUAAUUACAGACAGAUGUGUCUGAGCAUCACCUUUUAAAAUCAGCUCUAAAACAUUUGUGCUAGCGCGCAAUUCAUGAUGUUUUGAGAAACUGGACUUUGCAAUCAUGUGUCUGAAACUGCAGAGCAUGUAGCAUCUAUGUACUUAAGGUCUGAGAUGGUGCGAAAGAAUGGAGGUGGGGACUAAUCCGCAUAUUCAUACAAAAUGAGGCUGAGGUCCAGCAGUAAAAUGUUCCUGAUAUGAUGUCAAAGAGAGCGGCCCUCAUAGGUGAACAGGAAUUCAGACUGAAACAGACUUCACUAUGAAAUAUAGAUAUCUCCUUAGAUGAACCAAGUGUAAUAUUCCUGCACUCAUAAAUGUUCUCUGCUAAUGUAUAACCUCAUUUUUCAGUUUGCUGUCAUCUGAACCCCAAGCUACACUAAAAAAGAUGUAACCUCAGACGCUUCAAAUAAAUAUUCUUCAUCAUGGUGAACAA